rnacentral:lncRNA from 1 species
UGUCUGUAAAGCACACCCAGGUUCAUAAAGCAUAGCGCCACCAGCUAACUUCUGAUUGGUUCCUUGUGACAAGACAGGCAUCUGACUUUCUAGUGUCUAGAACAAGGUCAUAGAAGCACAUGUUCGACCAUUAUGGCUGCCGAAAGGGAAGCUGGCCCCUUCAGAAUCAUCUAGAGAAACCCUUCUGGAUGUAUCUGGUUUUCUUACAGCAAUAGAAAAACAACGAAUGUAAGAACCAUUAAGGAGAGACCAUUCGCCUUGUACUGGGCCAAUAGGAGAAAUGCCCUGAUGUCAAGAAUAUCCACCAAAGGCUUUAACUUGUGGAAAUGUAAAUUCAUCUGAAUGGAGAGAACCUGAACGGAGAACAGCACCACAGAGGAUUCCUGCUAAAAAUCAGUUGCUCAGAGUGGUGCUUCCUAGGGUUAGCCCUUGGAGGCACACAGAGGCAGAUGCAGAUCAGGGGGCCAGGAUACAUCUCAAGCUGACAGCAGGACUUGGGAGCCUUAGCCACAGGAAACUGCUCUUUUUCUGCCAGGCUUGACAGAGGCAAGAUUGAGGGAGUCAUGGAGACUUGCACUAAGGUUCCUGACAACUGCUGGGGCCAGGGGUCCAACUCUGAAGGCCAUGCAGGUGACUGUAUCACCAGGAUUCGAGCCCCACACGGUCAACUUGGAGCACCACAUCUGCCUGCACCUCUUAGUCAGUCUGCAGAUGUCCCUGGACUAAAACCUGGGAGGAGGCUGUCAGGGGUACCUGAACCCCAAUCUUUUUUUUUUUUUUUUAAAUACAUUUUAAAAAGAAUUUAAAUGAGAAUCUUGUUUUACAUGUUAAUCCCAGUACCCUCCCCUUCCUUCCUUCCCCCCACCUCCCAUCCCCUUUCUGCUCCCCAAGGAGUGUGAGGCCUUCCAUAGGGGAAUCUUCAAAGUCUGUCAUUAUUUGGAGCAGGGCCUAGGCCCUCCCCGUGUGUCUAGGCUGAGAGAGUAGCCCUCUAUGUGGAGAGGGCUCCCAAAAUCCAUUUGUACACUAGGGAUUAAUACUAAUCAGCUACCAGAGGCCCCAUAGGUUGCCCAGGCCUCCUAAUUGACACCCACUAUCAGGGGGUCUCACUCGGUCCUAUGCUGGUUUCCCAGCUAUCAAUCUGGGGUCCAUGAGCUCCCCCUUGUUUGGCUGACCCCCAAUCUUACUGCACUCCAUGCUCUUACUAGAUUGCUUUUUUCUUUUGUGCUGGGGCUGAAGCCCAGGAGUUCGUGCAUGUUAGGUGAAGGCACUACCACAGAGAGAGUUACAUCCCCAGAUCCACUAUUUCCUUUUUAUCCCAGACCCUAGUGGUUUUGUCUCUGCCAUAUAAAACAUAAAGUAGUCAUGCUAAUGGUGAUUGGCUCCCAGUAACACAUACAUUAUCAUAUACCCCAGCUUCCUGUUGCAGUCUGCAGAUCUGCUCCAAGUCACACUGCCACCAAAGUCAACACCAGACUCCCUUUGGUCUGGGGUUUCAGAACUGAUUUUACCCAUUCUUUACUCUCACAGUACCACACCUCUGCCAUCUCUUGUUUCACACAGUUUUCUCCAGCAUCCUCAGUAAGAGUUAAUCUGCUUCCUUUACAGGAUCGCUCAGAUCUCUGGAUAAUACCCUUGUGCACUUGGAAGCUUGGCUGAUAAUACUGCAUAUGGGUACAUGCUUGGGGCUUGGUUCCUUCGUAGCAGGUAAUGGCAGCGCUGUCCCUCUGUCAGUUAAAAAUCCUUAGUUGGAAAACACUUUGUUCCUUGUUAGGUUUUAAAAAUGUUUUUGUUUUUAACUUCUUCCUGGGUUAAUGGAUCCAAAUUAGGAGUUUAUAAUUUUUAAAUUACAUUAACUUAUUCAUUGUGUGUCUAAUGUACAUGACAGGAUAUGGAGGUCAGAGGACUUACGGGAGUCGGUUCUCUCCUUGCAUCGUGUGGAUCUGAGGUCAGACUCAGGCUGGCAGGUUCGGCUGCAAUCCCCUUUGACUUCAAGUAAUUCUGCUGGCCUGAAAUUGCAAUUUUUAAUAAAAAUUCCCCCUUAACAAAUGAUUAACCGGGAGAAUUUUUUUCUACUAGCCAUUUUCCCUUUGCCAUGUUAAUUAAAACAUGUACUUUGAGGUAGUAGAUUCCAGGAGAAGUUUGCCAUGUUCCUUCCUUUAUUGCAUGUAACUAACCCUUUUGUGCUUAACAAUUUUGCAUCUGGUGGAGAGUUAAGCCACCGUUAACUUCCUGUCUCUGACAUUCAGCUUGGUGCUUGGUGUUGCUUUGCUGUGUACGUCUUAGUCCCGGAUCCUCUGUGCCCUGGUUUGUACCCUGCGCCGUUUCUGUCCUCAGUGGAGGCUUUCUUCUUCCACAAUUUAAUUUUUCAAAAUGCAACUUUAGAUUGCAAAAUGCAGACCCCAACAAAACCUCUGUGUUUUGCUCACAGUGUGCUAGGUGGCAUCUCGUUUUCAGGGUGUGUUGUGUUGUGGUCUACCUGCUGAUGAAGCAUCUCUGUUGUUCUCGGUAAAUGAAAGGCAAACAUUUCCACCCAUUAGUGCUUGGAAGUAAAGAAGAGGAGCCUCUUGGGUGCUCAGCACAUCUCUGAUGAGAUAAGUGUGCAGUAGAUUUAUAGUUCAUUCGGCUUGGUCAAGAGACUCACAUGAGGGGGUUUUGUAUUUUCAAUUGUUUGGUGAUGAUUUCUUCAGUUUUUUUUUUUUAAAUUUGGCGCCACUCAAUAUAUGAAAUUUGACCUUGUACAGGGAAAAUUUCUGGAAAUCAGAUCUUUCUUUUAUUCCAAGUAGAAGGAACCUCUUUGCUAUCAAACACAGAAGACUAUAUUUAGACUGAUAUCAAUAAACAAAAAUUUCAGAUCAUCCAUAUGACUGCUGUCCGGAUCCUGCAAACUUCCAGCAAGCAUGAAAUAACUCAGAUGAGUUAUGAAAAAGCCUCUCCCCAAAGCAAAUGAACUAUUGCCAGAACACGAACAAAAAGAGGGUCUUAUGCUCGGCUUGUAUGUGAAGGGAAACGAAGGACAGCAAUUUGCAAUUUUGGAACAUUCUUUUUCCUGCAGCAGGAUUCAAAGCAAGCUGGACUCCUUCCAUCAGUCAUCAGUGCGUUGUUCAGGAAAACAGUCUGUCCUAAGGAACUGGAAUUGUCUUCCAGGCAACAAACAUAAACACUCCAGAAACGUGACUUCAUCAUCAAAGGCAAUCGUGAUAAAUUAGAAACACCGUACACUUUAAUAUUUAAGCUAUAACUUGCAUGGAAAAACCCAUACCUUUUAGUCCACAGUACUUCGGAGUUUUGACAAUUCAGAGCCAUGUGGUUAAAACCACAAUUAAGACACAGAUUAGAUCUGUUAGUUACAAGAUUCCCUUGUGCCCUUUCGAAGAUGGCUCCUCUCCCCAACUCCUGCCUGGCCACCACUGGUCCAUUUUCUGUGCCUGGUUUUUGUGUCAUCCAGGAUGUUGGAUGAGUGACAUCAUGGACACAGACAGCUUUUUUAUUUUUUUAAAGAUUUAUUUAUUUAUUUAUUAUGUAUACAGUGCUCUGUCUGCAUAUAUGCCUGCAGGCC